rnacentral:rRNA from 1 species
ACGCGACCACGAGCCUAUCCUUGGCCGAGAGGCCCGGGUAAUCUUGUAAACCGCGUCGUGAUGGGGAUAGAUUAUUGCAAUUAUUAGUCUUCAACGAGGAAUGCCUAGUAAGCGCGAGUCAUCAGCUCGCGUUGAUUACGUCCCUGCCCUUUGUACACACCGCCCGUCGCUCCUACCGAUUGGGUGUGCUGGUGAAGUGUUCGGAUUGAUCUUGACUGGGGCAACCUGGUCUUGAUUGAGAAGUUCAUUAAACCCUCCCACCUAGAGGAAGGAGAAGUCGUAACAAGGUUUCCGUAGGUGAACCUGCGGAAGGAUCAUUGAAUCUAAUCAAAUCCACACACGUGAACUAACCAUGUUGGCCAUCCGGGUCUCGCAUCCGGAUUGAGAUGGGUGUAGGUUGGAAAACCUGUGCCUGCCUCAGUCGCUGCAUUCAUGCAAAAUGGAUGCGGUGUCGGUCUCUGUAUCUAACCAACCAACACCAAACUUAAUUCAUACAUAAUGUCGAGGGAUCCGCUUAGAGCUGGCCCUCAUUAACCAAGACAACUCUCAACAACGGAUAUCUUGGCUCUCAGAUCGAUGAAGAACGCAGCGAAAUGCGAUACGUAGUGUGAAUUGCAGAAAUACGUGAAUCAUCGAAUCUUUGAACGCAAAUUGCGCUCAAGGCUUCGGCCAAGAGCAUGUCUGCCUCAGCGUCGGGUUAAUACUCAUGUGCACAUUCGCCACCAUGAAUGUGUGUGUGGAGCUGACUGUCUCGGUGCAGCCUUCUGUCGGGAGGUGUGUGAGCCGGGUUAGUUGAAGUGCAGAUGUCAAAGCAUGGACCGUAAAUCGGGCCUCUACUGGGUAGGCAACUUGUUUGCUGAAAUGCUUUAGUAGAUGGCUUGGGUACUGUCUUUGGCACAAAACAGGAGUAUCUGUUCAAUCAGAUACAACCAAAUACCAUUUUCUCGACCCUGAGCUCAGGCAAGAUA